rnacentral:rRNA from 1 species
CGUGCUUAACACAUGCAAAGUCGAACGAGAGGACGAUGGGGAGCUUGCUUCUAUGAAAUCGAGUGGCAAACGGGGUGAGUAACGCGUAAACAACCCUGCCCUUCGGAUGGGGAUACAGCCGGAAACGGCUGCUAAUACCGAAUACGAUCUUUUCGUCGCAUGACGAAAAGAAGAAAAGGAUGGCCUCUAUACAAAGCUAUCGCCGAAGGAGGGGUUUUGCGUCUGAUUAGCUGGUUGGAGGGGUAACGGCCCAACAAGGCGAUGAUCAGUAGCCGGUCUGAGAGGAUGAACGGCCACAUUGGGACUGAGACACGGCCCAGACUCCUACGGGAGGCAGCAGUGGGGAAUCUUCCGCAAUGGACGAAAGUCUGACGGAGCAACGCCGCGUGAGUGAAGAAGGUCUUCGGAUUGUAAAGCUCUGUUAUACGGGACGAAAAAGACGGAUGCCAACAGUAUCCGUCCGUGACGGUACCGUAAGAGAAAGCCACGGCUAACUACGUGCCAGCAGCCGCGGUAAU